AAAUUGAAGAGUUUGAUCAUGGCUCAGAUUGAACGCUGGCGGCAGGCCUAACACAUGCAAGUCGAACGGUAACAGGAAUCAGCUUGCUGAUUUGCUGACGAGUGGCGGACGGGUGAGUAAUGUCUGGGAAACUGCCUGAUGGAGGGGGAUAACUACUGGAAACGGUAGCUAAUACCGCAUAACGUCGCAAGACCAAAGAGGGGGACCUUCGGGCCUUUUGCCAUCGGAUGUGCCCAGAUGGGAUUAGCUAGUAGGUGGGGUAACGGCUCACCUAGGCGACGAUCCCUAGCUGGUCUGAGAGGAUGACCAGCCACACUGGAACUGAGACACGGUCCAGACUCCUACGGGAGGCAGCAGUGGGGAAUAUUGCACAAUGGGCGCAAGCCUGAUGCAGCCAUGCCGCGUGUAUGAAGAAGGCCUUCGGGUUGUAAAGUACUUUCAGCGGGGAGGAAGGGAGUAAAGUUAAUACCUUU
rnacentral:rRNA from 1 species